rnacentral:piRNA from 1 species
UAUCAUCGGAGGCAUUGGUUUCU